AGACUUACCUGGCAGGAGAGAUUGCCUGACCUGAAUGUGGUUUUCAUAGGGUUAGGCCUAGCUAUCGUACUUUGGGUGUUCCAAAUUCCACUGAGGAAUUUGUGAUAGUUGGGGAUGUGUUCCAGCUGUCCCCUG
ensembl:snRNA U1 U1 spliceosomal RNA